AAAACUUUUACUACCAUCAAAUGUUAUAUCAUACAAAAUAAUAAUUUUUUUGCUACAGAUGAAUCAUUUCAAUUAAUUAUUGACAAUCUUGUUGAAAAUUUAUUAGUUAAUUUUCCUUGGAAAAUUAGGGAAUUGAAAAAUGAUUCAGAUGAUACUGCCAGAUUACUUUCAAAUCCCGAUACAGAGGAUUUAAUUCCAUACAAUGACCUACCACAAUAUUUUGAAGAAUUAAUGUUAUUGAUAACUGAUUUAUAUGGUGUUGAUAAUUUCAAACUUGAUUUGCCUUCCAAAUAUUGGGAUUCACCCACAAACAUAGACAUAUAUAAAAGUGGGGCAUUUAGAAAAGAAAUUAGUGCACCUAAGUCUAAUCAGAUUAAUUUAUAUAAAUUCAUUUCUAUUUUGUGUGACGGAAAUAUCAGUGUUUUUCCAACUCAAUUUUUUCCUUACCUAAAAAUGUUGAUAUCAAUUACUAAUAAUUGUCAAAAUUGUUCUUAUGAAGUUCAAAAAAUGCUUAAGUCA